rnacentral:rRNA from 1 species
GAUGAACGCUAGCUACAGGCUUAACACAUGCAAGUCGAGGGGUAACAAGAGGAAAGCUUGCUUUCUUUGUUGACGACCGGCGCACGGGUGAGUAACGCGUAUCCAACCUGCCUAUAACUAGGGAAUACCUUGCGAAAGUAAGACUAAUACCCUAUGAUUUCCUUUGAUGACAUCAGAUUAGGAAUAAAGAUUUAUCGGUUAUAGAUGGGGAUGCGUCUGAUUAGCUUGUUGGCGGGGUAACGGCCCACCAAGGCAACGAUCAGUAGGGGUUCUGGGAGGAAGGUCCCCCACAUUGGAACUGAGACCCGGUCCAAACUCCUACGGGAGGCAGCAGUGAGGAAUAUUGGUCAAUGGGCGGAAGCCUGAACCAGCCAAGUAGCGUGCAGGAUGACGGCCCUAUGGGUUGUAAACUGCUUUUAUACAGGAAUAAAGUUAGCCACGUGUGGUUAUUUGUAGGUACUGUAUGAAUAAGGACCGGCUAAUUCCGUGCCAGCCGCCGCAGUAA